GACGAACGCUGGCGGCGUGCCUAAUACAUGCAAGUCGAGCGGGCCUCCGGAGGUGCUUGCACCUCCGGAAGGCCAGCGGCGGACGGGUGAGUAACACGUGGGCAACCUGCCUUUGAGGCCGGGAUAACACCGGGAAACCGGUGCUAAUACCGGAUACGUCCUCUUUCGCGCCUGCGAGAGGGGAGAAAGACGGUCUUUAAGGCCGUCGCUCAAAGAGGGGCCCGCGGCGCAUUAGCUGGUGGGUUGGGUAAGGGCCUACCAAGGCGACGAUGCGUUGCCGACCUGGGAGGGUGAUCGGCCACACUGGGACUGGGACACGGCCCAGACUCCGGCGGGAGGCAGCAGUAGGGAAUCAUCCGCAAUGGGCGAAAGCCUGACGGUGCAACGCCGCGUGAGUGAGGAAGGUUUUCGGAUCGUAAAGCUCUGUUGUGAGGGAAGAACAGCUUCCGGAGGAAAUGCCGGAGGUUUGCCGGUACCUCACCAGAAAGCCCCGGCUAACUACGUGCCAGCCGCCGCAGUAA
rnacentral:rRNA from 1 species